CUGGGUUGGAACCCUCCAGAAGUCCGCAGAGACGCGGAUGUGCUCGCAAGAGAACUGGAUGUCCAGGUGCUGCAUGGCUGUCGUCAGCUCGUGUCGUGAGAUGUUGGGUUAAGUCCCGCAACGAGCGCAACCCUUGUCGUUAGUUGCCAGCGGUUCGGCCGGGCACUCUAACGAGACUGCCGGUGUUAAACCGGAGGAAGGUGGGGAUGACGUCAAGUCCUCAUGGCCCUUAUGCCCAGGGCUACACACGUGCUACAAUGACCGGUACAAAGGGUCGCUAACCCGCGAGGGUACGCUAAUCUCAAAAAACCGGCCUCAGUUCAGAUUGGAGUCUGCAACUCGACUCCAUGAAGUCGGAAUCGCUAGUAAUUCCUGAUCAGCAGGCAGGGGUGAAUACGUUCCC
rnacentral:rRNA from 1 species